UCCCAUAGGGGUGCACUGAUAACAUUUUUCAUUUUAGAAUAUGAUAAAUUACACUUUUGGUUUUCAAAUUAUGAGAUGCGUGACAUUUUAGUCCUCAAAUUUUAUUUUCUUAUAAUUUUUGGUUUGAACCUAUUGAAUUAUUGCAGUAAAGUCUCACAUUCCAAUUUAGUUGCUCAAAUCUUAUCAAAUUAUUGAUAUAAAAGUGAUAUAAUAUUUUAAUUAUUGUUGCAUCAUUAAUCACAGUACUUCCACAUCACUUCUACAUCAAACAUUUAUCAAUAUUUAGCUAAGUAAAUUAGUUGUGGGAUUUGAUUGGAAAAAGCUAUGUAAAUUAAAGUUCGAGGACCAUAGUGCCAUGCUCCUCAUAGUUUGAGGACCAAAAGUGCAAUUUACCUUUUAGAAUAUUACUGACGGCAUCUGGCGCAGUUGGCUAAGGAUUUGAUAGUUAGUAUCUGUGAUCGUAAGUUUGAAAUCUAGCUGCUUUAUAAUUUUAGUUGAAAUUAUUUCUAAACAAAUAAACAAAAUGAGUAACAAAUUAUCAGUCUCUUAAAAAAAUAUUUAGAAUAUUUUUGUUAAGGUAAUUUUGUAUAUGUUGAGUAAGAUGGGCUUUCGAGAGGCCUUUUGUGUAAGGAUAUUAAAGCUAAUGCAUACAUUGAAGUUGAGAAGUCUUUUUGCUAUUUAUUAGUAAUCUAUAAUUAAGUUUGAUUUAUGAUUAAGGUUUCACGCUUGAAAUCUAUUGGUUUUGUCUAAAAAAUCUCUUCUUUUUUUUUUUUUUUUUGUUUUGAGAGACAGGUAGCACGCUACCCGCUUCGUUUAUUUCAUUUAGAAAUAAACUUAGCUUGAAAUGUGAAUCAACUAGGAUUCGAACUUGGGUCUCGGAUACCAACCACCAAGCCCUUUGCCACUUGCUCUAGGGAUAGUCGGUCUAAAAAAUCUAUUAGUUUUAGCUCUAUUAUAUCUUAUAUAUAGAACUAUCAGG
rnacentral:lncRNA from 1 species